rnacentral:rRNA from 1 species
GGCGGACGGGUGAGUAAUACUUAGGAAUCUGCCCAAUAGUGGGGGACAACAUUCGGAAACGGAUGCUAAUACCGCAUACGCACUACGGUGGAAAGUGGGGGACCUUCGGGCCUCACGCUAUUGGAUGAGCCUAAGUCGGAUUAGCUUGUUGGUGAGGUAAAAGCUCACCAAGGCGACGAUCCGUAGCUGGUCUGAGAGGACGAUCAGCCACACUGGGACUGAGACACGGCCCAG